rnacentral:rRNA from 1 species
GCUUAAACAUGCAGUCGAGGCGAAUAGCAAAAGAGCUUGCUCCUGUGAGAUAGCGGCGGACGGGUGAGUAAUGUCUGGGAAACUGGCCCAUGGAAGUGGAAUACUUCUGGAAACCGGAGCUAAUACCGCAUAACGUCUUCGAACCAAAUGGGUCGACCUUCGGGCCUCACUCCAUCUGAUGUGCCCGGAUGGGACUACCUCGUAUUUGAUGUAAUGGGCUCACCUAGGCUACCAUCCCUAACUGUUCUGAGAGGAUCACCAGACCACACUCGAACUGACACACGCUCCAGACUCCCACGGACGGCUACGGGAGGCAAUAUUGCACAAUCUUCGCAAACGUGAAGAAGCCAUGACCGCGUGUGUGAAGAAGGCCUUCGGGUUGUAAAGCACUUUCAGCGAGGAGGAAGGGUUCAGUGUUAAUAGCACUGUUCAUUGACGUUACUCGCAGAAGAAGCACCGGCUAACUCCGUGCCAGCAGCCGCGGUAAUACGGAGGGUGCAAGCGUUAAUCGGAAUUACUGGGCGUAAAGCGCACGCAGGCGGUUUGUUAAGUCAGAUGUGAAAUCCCCGAGCUUAACUUGGGAACUGCAUUUGAAACUGGCAAGCUAGAGUCUUGUAGAGGGGGGUAGAAUUCCAGGUGUGGCGGUGAAAUGCGUAG